UACGUAGGGUGCGAGCGUUGCCCGGAUUUAUUGGGCGUAAAGAGCUCGUAGGCGGUUUGUCGCGUCGGCUGUGAAAACUCGGGGCUCAACCCCGAGCCUGCAGUCGAUACGGGCAGACUAGAGUGCUGUAGGGGAGACUGGAAUUCCUGGUGUAGCGGUGAAAUGCGCAGAUAUCAGGAGAACACCGGUGGCGAAGGCAGGUCACUGGGCCGCAACUGACGCUGAGGAGCGAAAGCAUGGGGAGCGAACAGG
rnacentral:rRNA from 1 species